ensembl:lncRNA
AGAACAAUUUAGAAAUUCUUAAUGAGAACACUUAGACCUAAAAUGCUAAUAUAACAGAAAAAAAAGCGUAUGGUUGUUGGCUAAAUAUAUUACAGCAUGUAUUUAUUUUAUUCUUCAAAAACUGUUUUUAGAAAAACUGUAUUAUUAUAAGCACAGUACAGAUAUCUUAUUUGUAAACACAUAUUUUAUAACAGAUAACAUCAAGAGUGUUACAAUAAAAACUUCAAUUUCCAAAAAAUGCAAAAGAUUGUAACACAAAAAUUAUUAUGUAAAUCUAUUGAUCAGGACAAAAUUUAAAUUGCUCUACAAAGGAAAACUUGCUGUGGCAAGUGUAAAAAUUUAUCUCAGUGGUUUGUGUUGUUUUGUCUUAGGUACUCUGUAUGAGUAAUUAUUUUUGUUUAUUUGAAAAAAAUUGCUUAAGAAACCAUGGUGGAAUAGAGGAUUCAAAUUUUAACAAAGGGAUGUAAAAUUUUAAAAAAGUGAUCAAAAAUUAAAAAUAACGCUGCAAUAUUGAGUUUUGAGCCUUAUAAAGUGAUAGUAGGCCGGUAACUCCUAGUGAGAAGUUGGCAAUGGAUUUUGUGGUCACACUUUGAAUUAAAUUGUUCCUUUUCUGAUCUUCACUUGAGUCAUUAUCCUCAAACCUCAUUAGCAUUCUUUUCAUGCAGAAGUAUUCUUUUAUAAUAUUUUGGAGAAUAAAAAAGAUUCCAUGUCCACCUCUCAGAAAAAGUGGAGUUGAGAGAAGCUGGGGAAAGUAAAACGCUGAGCAGAAAACAAAUUAUAAUAUGGGAGAACCCAGUUAAUGACUAAAAGUGAUAUGUGUACUAUAAUCAUUACAAAUAUGGUGUCCUGUAUUAUUUUUAAUUUUCUUGUUUAUAUGUGGAGGUUGUAAUUGCCAUUUAGACAAACAAACUUUUAAAAGCAUCUAGUCUGCAUUUAAUUAACUCUACUGUUCACAAUGGGCUGUUUGUGUGAAAGAUGGAUAAUACAGUUAUCUAGUUUCUUUUGUUGCAUCCUUCCUUUCUGCUUCUCCUACAGAAUGCCAUGUAUAAUAUACCUGUUUAUUAGUUGGAUACAAAGUUCUUCACUGAUAAGGCCAGGGAAAAAUAGACUUAAUAGAACCUUGUGAAGAUCUCUGUCACCAUGGAAGCUCAGCUGAAACUGGCUCUGUAAGUUUUCGUCUCCACCUUAUUGCACCUAAAACCACCAUUAGCUAGGCUCGUGGGUAGUCAGUACUUUAAACUUUACCCCACUACCUUAAAUUUAUAAUUAGAGCCAAUGCUUAGUGUUCAUCAUUCCUCAUAGAGACAAAUUAAAUGAGGCUUGAAGAGUAUCUGCUUUGUCCAUGCUAUGUGAGUAAUGAGUUUUUAUGCAUAAUGCCAAGGAAAUUUCUCUAGAUGGUUAGAGCAAGAAUACACAAGUCAGGAAAAGAAAAAAGAAAAAAAGAUUGAUGGUAGCUUUCCUAAGCAAUCAGUGCUCAGUUGUCAAAUAUGUGAAUCACCCUGGCUGCUGCUUUCUCCUCAUUUUGCCUGCAUUUUGAGAGAUUUAACAGUUAACUCUGUUAACCAGAUAUCAGUUACUCAAAUUGGCCUUUUCAGAAUCUCCUUAGACUUAUUACUCUACCAAAUACUCAUAUUGAAUGUCUCCAAGACCUGUUAAUUUUUGUCAUCUAUUUAUCCGAAAUUAAAUCUUUCUUUAAUCAUAGUUAUUUUUAAAGUUAAGUCUGGGAGUUUAUGUACUCCAAAUCCAUCAUGUUACAAGAGCAAAAAGAAUCCCAGACAACUGAAGGUUUAUAGAUAGUUCAUAGUGAAAUUACUACUGAAAUUAAGACCUUUGAACUCUCAGAGUGGUUUUUUCCUUCAAAUUGCCUCAAGGAAAGUGGAUUCUUCACAUUUCUCUGUUAAUGCAACACUUACUGUCUCAAUUCUGAAAAAUAAUAUACUCAACUGUAGCUAAAUUAUAUUUUCCUUAAAUAUAAUCUUCUCUUUCUUAGAAAAAAAAAUGCAUAGAAAGUAUCACAUUGCCUAGGAAGAACUUGAGCCUGGAGUUUAAUUCUCCUGUUACUUAACACCAGGUAUCCAUAGAAACAAUGAACUGACAGUUGCAAUACCCUGUUUAUCUUUGUUCAACUAUCUCUUCAUGCUUAGUCACUAGAAAAAUGCCUACAAUUGACAUAUGUUUGAUGAACAUUGAUUGGAUUCAAAUUCAUGAGUCAUUUGACAACUAGAGGCACAAUUAGAAGAUCUGUACCUUUUUAUCUAUUUCAACAAACAGUUCACAUUUUUCUGUGUAUCUCCUAUGGGAAAAUACCAGUUAUUUCCAAAGCAGCAGGAGAGAAAUGGUUAUAAAUACUAUAAACAUUGGGCAAUAUUUAUAGAAGCAUUGUUCCUUAUAUAGCAUUAAUUUUAAAAUGUUUACUUGUUGGUCUGUUGCUUUAUUGAAGUGAAUAUAUUUAAAUUGUCCAUGAUGUAUGAGCACUGACAGAAAUGUACCUCGUCUAUGUAG